UAUAAGGGAUUUUGAGUUUUUGCUUGCAACGUUUGAUCACUCGUCUUAUUCAAAAUUUUUUGAAAUUAUUAUUUAUUUUAUUUGUGACUUACUUUAUUAUCUAUAGUACUUUAUACACAACUUUUCGUUUUUUAUAUUUGCAAAAAAAAAUUGAAUAAGAUGAGUGGUCAAACAUUACAAACAAAAACUCAAAAUCCCUUAUA
rnacentral:pre_miRNA from 1 species